UACGUAGGGGGCAAGCGUUGUCCGGAUUCAUUGGGCGUAAAGAGCGUGUAGGCGGCCAGGCAGGUCGGUUGUGAAAACUGGAGGCUCAACCUUCAGACGUCGACCGAAACCAUCUGGCUAGAGUCCGGGAGAGGAGAGUGGAAUUCCUGGUGUAGCGGUGAAAUGCGCAGAUAUCAGGAAGAACACCCGUGGCGAAAGCGGCUCUCUGGAACGGUACUGACGCUGAGACGCGAAAGCGUGGGGAGCGAACAGG
rnacentral:rRNA from 1 species